rnacentral:rRNA from 1 species
ACGGGAGGCAGCAGUGGGGAAUAUUGCACAAUGGGGGAAACCCUGAUGCAGCGACGCCGCGUGAGUGAAGAAGUAUUUCGGUAUGUAAAGCUCUAUCAGCAGGGAAGAUAAUGACGGUACCUGACUAAGAAGCCCCGGCUAACUACGUGCCAGCAGCCGCGGUAAUACGUAGGGGGCAAGCGUUAUCCGGAUUUACUGGGUGUAAAGGGAGCGUAGACGGUAAGGCAAGUCUGAAGUGAAAUGCCAGGGCUCAACCCUGGAACUGCUUUGGAAACUGUCCUACUAGAGUGCAGGAGAGGUAAGUGGAAUUCCUAGUGUAGCGGUGAAAUGCGUAGAUAUUAGGAGGAACACCAGUGGCGAAGGCGGCUUACUGGACUGUAACUGACGUUGAGGCUCGAAAGCGUGGGGAGCAGACAGGAUUAGAUACCCUGGUA